rnacentral:rRNA from 1 species
AGAUGAGCAUGCGUCCCAUUAGCUAGUUGGUAAGGUAACGGCUUACCAAGGCUACGAUGGGUAGGGGUCCUGAGAGGGAGAUCCCCCACACUGGUACUGAGACACGGCCCAGACUCCUACGGGAGGCAGCAGUGGGGAAUAUUGCGCAAUGGGCGGAAGCCUGACGCAGCGACGCCGCGUGGGGGAUGACGGCCUUCGGGUUGUAAACCUCUUUCGACCUCGACGAAGAGAAAUUGACGGUAGGGGUGGAAGAAGCACCGGCCAACUACGUGCCAGCAGCCGCGGUAACACGUAGGGUGCGAGCGUUGUCCGGAAUUAUUGGGCGUAAAGAGCUCGUAGGCGGUGUGUCACGUCGGCCGUGAAAACCUGCAGCUUAACUGUGGGCGUGCGGUCGAUACGGGCAUCACUGGAGUUCGGCAGGGGAGACUGGAAUUCCUGGUGUAGCGGUGAAAUGCGCAGAUAUCAGAGGAACACCGGUGGCGAAAGGCGGGUCUCUGGGCCGAUACUGACGCUGAGGAGCGAAAGCGUGGGGAGCGAACAGGAUUAGAUACCCUGGUAGUCCACGCCGUAAACGGUGGGCACUAGGUGUGGGGACCAUUCCACGGUCUCUGUGCCGCAGCUAACGCAUUAAGUGCCCGCCUGGGAGUACGGCGCAGGCUAAA